ensembl:snoRNA Z30 small nucleolar RNA
CAGCACUGAUGAGCUGAAGUAUAGUCUGACCUGGUAUUGCAAGCCCCCCAGGGGGUGCUCUGACCAGGAUGUGACGACUCUAAUCUUCUCUCUGAGCAG